rnacentral:misc_RNA from 1 species
CUCAAUCUCACGGCUCUUGCUCACUCUUCUUGUAUUUGAGCUCUUUCCAAUCAAACCACCAAAUUCAUGCCUAUUUAUCCUCCAUCUUUACACUCCCUUUCCACUUCAGGCUUCACUUGCAGAAACUAAUCUAAAUCACAAAUGGGUUUUGCAAGGAAAGGACUCGAAUUUUUGAGUGAGAUCGGAUUGAGCGAGCUCAACUUGGGUUGUUAUGUGAAUGGCACGUGGAAAGCACGUGGUCCAGUAAUCACCACUUUGAAUCCUGCAAACAACCAGGCAAUAGCUGAAGUUGUGGAAGGUUCCAUUGAAGAUUAUGAAGAAGGCUUGCAGGCUUGCAGUGAAGCAGCUAAGAUAUGGAUGCAGGUUCCUGCACCGAAGAGAGGCGAAAUUGUCAGACAGAUUGGGGAUGCAUUGAGGGCAAAACUUCAGCAACUUGGUCGCCUUGUUUCACUUGAGAUGGGG